GUGAGCAGGGCAGGUGGGCUGGGGUUGGGAGGGGUGGAUGCCUUGGGGAGGGGAUGGAAGAGAUUGAACUCCUGGCCCAAGUCUGAUGGGGACGGUGCAUGGUGCAGCCCCUGCCCUUCUUUGGGUAGAGCCUGAGAGCUUGGGGCCCCUUAGAGUCCCCUGAGGGACUCACGACUAUUUGUGGAAGAUGGUAGGGGCUUGGAGCUAACAGCUUGUUCAUAGGUUCUAUUCUGCCCCAGCUCUCCUUGUGGAGGCCCUAGGGUCCUGCUCAGCAUAUCUCUCAGAGCCAAGUCACAAGUAGAGGACUGGGGGACUGCCUGGCACAGAGCAGUUGCUGAUCAACACAGCUGCAGCCAGGGCUGGGAAUAUGACAAGCAUUUCCUCUGUCAAGAGAGACAUCCAUGCCACCCUGGGGCCCUCCCCAUCCCAGGCAGGCCCCUCCAAGCACCCAGCCUCUAACACAGCCCCCUUCCUCACAG
rnacentral:sRNA from 1 species